rnacentral:rRNA from 1 species
CAGUCGCCGCGGUAAUACGUAGGUGGCAAGCGUUGUCCGGAAUUAUUGGGCGUAAAGGGCUCGCAGGCGGUUUCUUAAGUCUGAUGAGAAAGCCCCCGGCUCAACCGGGGAGGGUCAUUGGUAACUGGGAAACUUGAGUGCAGAAGAGGAGAGUGGAAUUCCACGUGUAGCGGUGAAAUGCGUAGAGAUGUGGAGGAACACCAGUGGCGAAGGCGACUCUCUGGUCUGUAACUGACGCUGAGGAGCGAAAGCGUGGGGAGCGAACAGGAUUAGAUACCCCUGUAGUCCCUGUCUCUUAUAC